AGACAAUAAAACGAUGGAAUAGAAAAGCAGGGCCAUAUUUUUCAUAUUGAAAUUUACAACCAAACUUUUAUACAAAACAAAAACCACUUCAAAACUAUUCACAUUAAAAUGGAGAUCUCAAAAGAGGAUAGGAUCUCAAUCCAUCCAGGUCAUACUCAAGGCCCAUCUCGGUAUUAUCUUCUUAUUUCAAAAUCCUUCCCUUCAAGUUUCACCUCCAAGAUCUCCUUCCCAGACUUCUCCUCCUCAGCUCCUUAUCGGGUCCUGAAAUGUUUUUCCCCAAACUGGGAUGAGACUACGUCUCAGCGAGUCCUACCCCACUAAGCCCGAUUAGUAAACCAUUAUACUACAGGCUGCCUAAACACGCACAGGGCAGGAGACGUACCUUGGCAUCAGAUCCCACCUGCAAGUCAGUACAAUUCAUAAUAGGCACCCAAGCAAUCAUACCACCGAUCAAAGCAUCGAUCGAAUCGACCUAGUCGAUUACACACCAACAAGACCACUCACGGUCAUUUCCAAUCAGUCAAUCAAUCCACGACAUCAAAUCAAAUCAAUGAUCAAUCGACCUAGUCGAUUACAUGACAUCACGACCCAUGCUCGGUCGGCAUAUUCAAUACUAUCUAUAAAGUCCUAUCAAAUCAGGACUGCUCACCCAAAGCUGAUAAAUAGAUAGCAUAGCUCACCCAAAGCUGUUGAUAAGGUAUACUGCUCACCCAAAGCUGACAUAUCGCCCGUAGGUCGAUAUAGUAUACCGGUAUACUGCUCACCCAAAGCUGACAUAUCGCCCGAAGGCUGAUAUAGUAUACCAUAUGCUCACCCAAAGCUGAUAAUAAAGUAUACUGCUCACCCAAAGCUGACAUAUCGCCCGUAGGUCGAUAUAGUAUACUGGUAUACUGCUCACCCAAAGCUGACAUAUCACCCGAAGGCCGAUAUAGUAUACCCCAAAUUCUCACCAUAAGCUGCCAACCAUACUUUUAUAGUAUGCCGGAAUAAUCAUUUAAUCAAAUCACCAUUUUUUUUAUCCUUUCUGAUAAAAACUUACCCAUGCGUGGGCACACGGUCGGCCUUAGCUAAAAUAAUAUAAUUUCCUUUCCACGAAUCCCACCAUUAUCUGUAGUCCACCAAAACACUUUUGGUGCUGUCAACCGACACCUGGUUAUUUCCCAAUUAAUAACCAAAAUUCAACAAUUUAGGAAUAAAUCCUAAAAUCACCCAUAAAUUGAUUUAGCACAAAAUCAAGCUCAAUUGAAUAAACGGAUCGUGCCACGACAAUCAGCACGAGAUUUCGGUCGCCGGCCAUCUCAAACUUAAUUUCCGAAAAAUAAUUAAUUAAUUAAUUAAUUUCGAAAAUUAAUUAUUAAAUAUUAAAAAUUCCGUUUAGCUCAAAAUAAGGCCCAAUUAAAUAAACGGACUUCACCACGAUCAUCAGCAUAAAUUUCCGGUCAUGGGCCAUCCCAGUUGAAUUUUCGGAAAAUAAAUAAUUAAUUAAUUAAUUUCGAAAAUUAAAUAAUUAACAUUAAAAAUCCAAUUUAGCUCAAAACAAAGCCCGAUUAAACAAACGAACUCCACCACGGUCAUCAGCAUAAUUUUCCGGUUCCGGAUCAUCUCAGUUGAAUUUUCGGAAAAUAAAUAAAUAAUUAAUUUAAUUUCGAAAAAUAAUAUUUAAAUGCCAAUAAUCCCACUUAGGCCCGAAUCGUCAAAUUGAAGCCCGAUUAGGGGUCGGAAAAUUCCCGAGAUACUUCCAAUAAAUAGUAGACCACGUCUACUUGUUAAUUACACAAUCAAUUUAUCUAAAUCGCAUCACAAUUGACUAAUAAUUGCUAAUUUAUUCUAAUCUAACAACCUAAACAUAAUUAAUUAAAACUAAAUCAACCUUAAGCAUAAUUAGCCAACUAAUCCAGGAUUAGUGAGAUUACUCACCAAAUCGCGCGCAAAUCGGAUCAAUCCGACGGCGGCGACGCGAGGAACGAUUGUUCCCAAAGCGACUCGCGGAUCCGGGGCCCGGAAACGGCCCAAAAGCGGGCCCGAAGCUGCUGAAACCCACUCCGUGGGUCUUGCUGGUCGGGGCUGAACGGAGCCGCUCCGGCGGCUAGGGCGGCGAGGGGAAGCCGGCGGAGGGCGAGGGGGUCGCGGGGGGUGGUCUGGCGAGGUUGGGCGGUGGCCGGAGGUGGUCGGACGGUGGCUGGUCGGUGCGGAACAGGGGCGAAACAGGGCUGAUUCGCGCGGAGGGAGGAGCGG
rnacentral:lncRNA from 1 species